UACUUUCCUUUUGAGUUUUCUCUUUUGUAACCUUUUCCUUUUGUUAAUAAAGAGUCUAUAUUCCCUUCCGCUCAUACUCUCAACCCCCCCGAUUGGUAUCAGAGGUGCCGGUGUAACAAGUUUCUGGAGAAAUAAUAUCGUAAUAUUUAUUCCAUAUCAAAUAUGGGAAAUUCGCAGAAUGCUCGGAAGCCCCCGACUAUCAGCUGUAAAUGAAGAUAAAGAAUACUUGGCAAAAACAAUUGACAAGUGUCAAGAAAAUUCAAGUUGUUAUCAAAUCCAAGCCGGUGUUGAUUUAAUGGCUAAAGCUAAAUAUCUUCUUCAAGAAAGAAAUUAUCAAUUCAGAACUGAUGGAAGAAGAAUAUUAGCAUAUCAUUCAUAUCUUAUUGAAGAAAAUGAUGAAGGCAUCAAUCUGCUAAAAAAGAUAGCAGACAUGAAUAUAGAAGAUUUUCCAUCUAACAUUCUGCAACAAAUCAGAAGUACAUGGGAAAAUUAUCAUCAAUAUAUAUCUACCAUUCAUCAUCUUGAGGGAUGAAUUAUGAUGGAAGCAACCGUUAAUCACAUCAAGAUAGAUUGAUGAUGCAAGCAAGAUGGAAGCAACCAUUAAUGCUUGAUAAAAACAUCCAGAUGAAGACAAAAAGUCUUAAUCAAGUCUUAAUCAUCAUUAAAAUAAUGAUGAUGUAAGCAGUGAUAAAAGCGGCCGUGACACAAGCAGUGACAAAAGCGGUCAUAAAUGCAAGCAUGACACAUGUAAUCAACCAUAGCCAUGCAAAAAGAUGGAGACGUGGAAGCAACCACAUCCACAAAGAAGCCGGAUCCUUAUCAGAAAUACUGUUCGGGAUUCAAAAUACAAUUGUAUAGAAUUUUUAGAAUUCCUCUAUAAAUAGGAAGGAAAGCCCAAUUGUAUAGCAUCUUGUAAUUUACCAAAUACUUUCCGUUUGAGUUUUCUCUUUUGUAACAUUUUCCUUUUGUUAAUAAAGAGUCUAUAUUCCCUUCCGCUCAUACUCUCAACCCCCGAUUAUGUACUACUAUAAUGAUUAUUUAGUAAAAAAUUUACCUCAACUAAGGGUGUAUGUAAUUGAGUCGAGUCUAAGCAGAAAGAAGCUUGAGUUUAGAAUCAGUUUUGAAACCCGUUUUGAGUUUCUUUAAUGGCGAUUUAAUUUAAGAUUCAAAAGUAGUAUUUAAAUUGGUUUGGUUAAUGAUGGUUUCUAUCAUUCGGCUUCAGAGUUGGAUCUAAGUAGGAGUAGUUCGAGUUAAGGCUGAGUUUGAUAUUUUGUGAUAAUAAAUAAAAUGAUCUAUUUGAGUGAGUUUGAUUAGGUUUGUUUGUAUAGUGAAUGGGAAAUUCAAUUAUCAUGUUCUACCUUUAAAUCCAAAGCUCAAUUUCGGUAUUGGUUAAAAUAAUAAUUUAUCUUAAAAAUAAAGAAUUUUAAUUAAGUUCUUAAGUUAUUUAAACUGAAUACAUAUAGGCAAUUUUUCACUUUUAAUCAUGUCGUGGAGUAUAAGAACUUCUCAACUAGGUUUAUUACUUCUUUUGCCUCUUGUAUUAAUAUUUUCACUUUAGUCCUACUAAUUUUUAAAUGAAUAAAUUUAUUUUGCUCA